AGGGGGGAUAACAUCCGGAAACGGGUGCUAAUACCGCAUAGUUUUCUUGAUCGCAUGAUCGGGAAAGGAAAGACGGCCUUUGUGCUGUCGCUUAUGGAUGGACCCGCGGCGUAUUAGUUAGUUGGUGAGGUAACGGCUCACCAAGACGAUGAUACGUAGCCGACCUGAGAGGUGAUCGGCCACAUUGGGACUGAGACACGGCCCAAACUCCUACGGGAGGCAGCAGUAGGGAAUCUUCCGCAAUGGACGAAAGUCUGACGGAGCAACGCCGCGUGAGUGAAGAAGGGUUUUUUCCGGAUCGCAAAACUCUGUUGUCAGAGAAGAACAAGUUGGAGAGUAACUGCUCCAGCCUUGACGGUAUCUGACCAGAAAGCCACGGCUAACUACGUGCCAGCAGCCGC
rnacentral:rRNA from 1 species